CAUGUGAGAAUUCUGAGUGCUUGUAAGAAAACUCCAAGAAAACAAGAGUCUUGCGACCUCAGUUUCUUCAAAACACAGAGCUGUUCUUGGAAUGUGUUUUCGUGCUCCCCCCAGGUGCAGCAGACAGGAUCCCAAAGAGAGGCCAAGGAGUCAAGGACCUCGAUGUAUGAAGAGCCUGCAGAGAGCUCCCUGCCCCCUUAGAAAUCCUGGGACAAACACACAGAAGACAAAAUACACACAUACAAUUCUGCUCAAGGAGGCCACAUAGACCAAGCCUUGAUUGCCAAUUUUUGGAGACGUGGGAAGUCUCAAAAUAUGAUUUCCAGAUUGCUUGUUUUACAGCUUGCUUCUUUGAAGAACGGCGGACAGCUGAAGGCAUACAUACAGUAGCAUCUAUUCCCACCUGGGGUGUCUGCUCCUAUGCUCUGGCCGCCUCCAUCAAAUUCAUGGUGGGUUAAUUCCAUUGUUACGGUAUUCCGAGGUGGGACCUAAUUAGGAUUAGAUGAGAAUGGAGCCCCGUGAUCUUAUUAGCCUUGUUGGAAGGGGAAGGAAACCACAGUGUGCGUGCUGCCUCCAGACCGCAGAGUCCCUGGGAGCCAAGGGCCCUGUCACACGCAGCGCCUGAACCUGAAUGGUAAGAACUAAACUUUCGUUACUUACUAUUCGCCCAGUUUGUGGUGUUCAGGAACAACAGAAAGUGACCUAAAAUACCCAGAAAUCUAACGACGUUCAGCAUCUUCGCCAGAGGAGGAAGAGAGUUGGCGCUCGUUACCUUCACAGUGACUCACCCACCACCCCCAGUUCUUUGAAGUUCCUAAUCAAUGCUGUCACCUUCUGACUUGUCCCAACCAUAGAACAAGAAUACAGUGAGCUUUUCUGGUAACUGGGGACACACUUCUCCACUGGGGAGUUUGGAUCCUCUCAACGUUCUCUUAAGUGGGCAUGGAUUCUUUCUUCUGGCUUCCUCCACUGGUCCUAUCCUCCCUCUUGGAGUUAGGUGGCAUGGCCUUCCUCCUCCUUGCAUUCAGCCAGUCCAGUAUUAUUUAGAGAGAGGAUCGUCAGUCAUUAUCGUGGUGUAUGUGGGGCUGGGGCUCAGGGAGCAGGAUGCCAACCUAGCGUGCACAGAACCAUCCCUAGCAGUGUAUAUGCUGGGCACGUGGCACAGGAGGCACGGUACUCAGGAGGCAGAGGCAGGGGGAUCAGAAGUUCAAGGACAUCCUCGGUUACAUAGUGAGUUCAAGGCCAGUGUGGGAUGCACUAGACCCUGUCUCAAAACAAACAAACAGACAAACAACAACAACAAGAAAACCACCACCAACAACAACAACAGAAAACCCAUUCAAAGAAAAACUAAAAACCCCCAAAUCCCAAGAAACUCACUGACUAUUGCCACACCAUCCCUUCAGCUAUGGUGGCUGCCUUCCUUAUGAAUCUUGGAGCAUGGAGAGACAGAGGAAGCGGGGUACACUGAGGGCAUCACACAAUGUUCAGACUUCAAGGGAAUACUCAACUAUUUUCUCCUCCUCCCAUUCAUCUAGCUGGGCAACCUCUGGGCUCAGUGUAGCCAGUACUUCGAACCUCCUUUCCAGACUUUUCUUAUUUUGACUGUUCUAUUCUGCACACACCACAGUUUAUUACCUGGCUAAUUGGUACUAUCCCUGGCAUCAAAAACAAUAGCACUAUCAGGACUCCGUGGACAGGUGGCAAUCACACCACCAUUUCUUGGGGCUGGAAUUCUAUCACAUUAUCAUGCCCAUAAAACAAGACAUGAACAAAGCACCCGGAAGGGUGUAACAUGUUACCUACCAUUGUUCUUCUCCUUGAUGUGGUCCGAGCCUCAUCAGCUCUUUUGUUUGAAGCUAAAUGACGACACUACCACUUCCACUGGCGUGGGAUCUCAGUCACCCCUAUUCUCAUCUUGCUAUGUGUUUCUUUCUCUUGAACUUAGGCAGGAGUGAAAAAUACAGCGCAGACACAGGACUUUGUGUCUAUGUUAAGUUAUUUCCUCUGGUUCUCGGUCCAACCUCCAGUCUAACCAGACCAUCAUUCUGUGACCUUCGUUACAGCUCUCCCAUCAUUUGGGGAUUAAGUUAUAUAACGGCAAACCCAGGGAUCAAGUCUCCCCUCGGUCAGACAUGGUAUAGUGGUAACCUUAGCAUGGAGGUGCUGUACUGAUGCAGGAUCUUCAGGACCCUGCUCCUACCGGCCCACUUGCAGUUUAAGGUAGCGUCACAGAGCUUUAGAUGAGAUGGACCUAAGAGAACAUGCCCUCACCUUGGAGCAGGAUGGAAAUCCAGGUCUGCAGACCUCAAUUCUGUGGAUUUUGUGGUUUUUUUGAGGGGGGGGUUGUUUGUUUUUGUUUUUGUCAAAACAGAAGACACUACGCUAAGUUCACAUUGAAUUUUCUAAAUGAUUUCCUGACAACUUCUAUCAGAAAAGUAAUAAAAGAAUCUAUCUUUAGUCAGCUUUAUUAUUUGUGCAUGGGUGUCAAUCACUGGCUCUAGUUUCCAGGGACUAGAGAGAAGUGCCUCAAUAUGUAGUUUUCACUGUAUACCCUUCUGUCUUUGGGAAAGUGGUGUGGCAUUUGUCUUUGCCUUUCAUGGGACAGAAUCUCCUGUUUUCUACAUGGAUCAGAGUGACUUCUGAAUGAUAUCUAGAGAAUUUCCAACAACUUGGACUCAAAUGUGUGUGAAUUUUCAAAGGCCAUUAAGUUCUCCAUUGCCGUACCUUAGACAUGGUGGGACGUUAGCAUGUUUCCCCAUAUUUAAUUUAGGACCUGAUCGAGUUCGAUACUCUGUUGCUGUGAUAAACACUGACCAAAACUAAGCCCAGGAGGCAAGAAUUUACUUGGCUUACAUAUCCCAGAUCACAGUCCAUCACUGUGAGAAUUCGGAAGCAGGAACUCAAGUUAGGAACCUGGAAGUAGGAACUGAAUCAGAGGCAAGGGAGGGUUGCUGCUUACUGGCUUGCUCCCCAAGGCUUGCUCAGCCUGCCUUCUUAUACAGUUCAGACCAUCUGCUUAUGGGUGGUACCACCCACAAAGUGCUAGGUCCUCCUACAUCAACCAUCAGUCUAGACAAUACCCCACAGAGCAGCCCACAGGCCAAUCUGAUGGAGGCAAUUUCUCUAUUGUGGGUUCUCCUUCCCAGGUACCUCGAGUUUAAGUCAAGUUUAUAAACACUAACCAGCAGAAAGCCACUAGCAGUACGGAAAAGAAGAAAAUGUCCAGAAUGGCAGAGUCCUACUGAACUAUACUUCCUACAUUUCAUUCUGUUCCUGUUUGUUGUUUUUUUUUUUUUUUUUUUUUUUGGUUUUUCGAGACAGGGUUUCUCUGUGUAGCUUUGCGCCUUUCCUGGAUCUCACUCUGUAGACCAGGCUGGCCUCGAACUCACAGAUAUUCGCCUGGCUCUGCUGUUUUGCUUUUUCACAUCACAUCAUGUUCUCAGCUGCAGCUUCCCAGAGCCAGGCUUGUAGGUCGGAGGUGUUCUUUGCACAGUUCCUCCUGGGCGUGGCUACACAGUGCCUUUGUCUCUGUGUACAACCCCCUUAGCGCAUGCGCAUCCUGGCCUCUCUGCUGCUGUCACCAUGACUUGGAAACAAGAGCCCCUUUCCCUUCUCAAUGUGUUUAAUGAUCUGUUGCGAGUUUAUCUUGGAAAGUGUUCUUAUUGGUUCACCCUUCCUAGGCUAUUGCUAAUUAGGAAUUUAGGCUCUGGCCCACUGUGCCAAAACUUGUCUGCACUUCAGAAUGGGCUUUCCUCAACUCUGUGCCUGGAACUGUCCCCUUUCCUGCAUCUCUUCCUAGAUCCAAUAGCUACUUCCCUUCCUGGUUGGAGUAACUUCCAUAGCACUUCCAUUUAUUCAUCGUUGAUUGAAAUAUCUCUUCCCUUCUGAGAAGUAGUAAUAGUCACAGCGACCCUUGGCCAGACUUCCUCGGGCACCAGGCUGGCCUUCACCUACCCUGUCUCUUAGGAUCCUAGCGGUGAGGGAGAUACCACUGCUGCCCCAGCGGGUGGUGGAGGCGCUGGCUCAAGGUCAUUGCACAGAUGUAGCCGGAGGUUGCCAAUGCCGGCGCUGGAUGCCAGGUUCCACCCUAGAGAUGAGGUGGUGAAGCUGAUGCUGAUUUACAGCAAAAUUCAGCUUGCAGCUGUUGUUUGAAUAAUUGGAUCUCCCACUGCCGUUCUAUCUUAUAAGGGCUUAGACAUUAGUGUUAUGAAAUCCCGUCUCUAGGCCAGAUUUGUUUAAAAACAACCCACAAAACCAAAGAACUAGACCACCAGCACUCUCCUUGACAAAUAGGCACCUUUCUUCCUUGCCAGCAGCCUUAAGUGUCCUCUGUCUGUCUGUCUGUCUGUCUGCAGCCAUAUCCUGCUAGGAGUGUUCACCGUUGCUGCCUCCCUAGAAGAGCAGUCCUCCUCUGUUCUUGGUAGACUGUCCUCUUACAUUCUCUAUCCGGUGUAAAGUGGGGCAAACAGGAGACAUGGGAGGAUUCUGAGGUGUUUGACACUGAGGUCUCUACCCACCCUUGGGCUCUGAGACAGAGGGAUUUAAAUCCUGGCUCUCUUGUAAGACUGCUGUGUGAUUCUGGCUUGGUUCUUAAUCUCUCUGAGCUUUAAGCAGUCAACUAGAAAAUGAAGGUGGGGAAUGAUGGAGUUUUGGUGGGGGCAGAGGCAACCCCUAACUCCUGCAUGAUUUGACCUCCCCCUGCUCCCUGCCAUUGGCUGGAGCAGUUUAAUGCCGCCGCCGCCGCCGCUCCUCUGCACACCUGCCUCCUAGCCCCAGUCUCUACUUCCUUCAGAACUCCGCGAAGAUGCAAGGCUUGCUGUACUGAGUCUAAGAAAGUGGAGCCGGGAGUGGAGCACUUGAGGGCCUAACUGGAACACAGGACAUGGCCUGUUCCCCAGCUAAAUCCUCCGUGCUCCAUGACGUCACCCCCACCCCCCCACCCCCACCCCCGUGACUGCAGGGAGAGCCUAGAGGCCCUUUCCUGACGCCCUGAACUAGGCUGGGGUUCUCAGGCUCGGCUCCUGAGCCCUGGUUGGGGCUGCACCGCCCCAGCAUUUACAGCUAGUCAUGCUGCUCAGAAUCGGCGCAGGGGCAGGUACUGCAGGGGCCACCGAGGCCUGCUCAGCUCCUGCCCUGUGACCCCAGGCCCCACAGUUCUGACUUCCUCAGAGCGGGAUGGUUCUGGGGAGAAGGUCGUUGUGACUAGGUUAGGAGGCCACAGGCCUUGCUGAGCAAAUUACUAAAGAGCUCAGGAUUAGUGGUGUUCUCCCUCCACCCCGCUUUGGGUCUCUGCAAUUCUGGGCUGAACCUAGACUCUCCCAGCUCUCGUCUUCGCUGAGGGGGUUGACAGCAUCAGAGGGGAGGGAGGCAGAGCAUCAUGCACCCUGCAGCAGGGCCCCCUCGGUAACCUGAAAAGGUAGAGGGGAGGCCUCCUGCAUUCAAGCCCCGUCAACCCUUUCCUGCAGGUCCUCGGGGACAGAGAAUCUAUUUAUUUGGCGACCUCUUUCAGUUUUUAGGCUGCGUUAUCCCUAACCUGGAUUCUCCACACCACCCGCAGGCAAGUUUUUCUCUAGUUUGGUAGCAGAUUGUUUUUCUCUCGAAGCUCCACCCACCACUGGGCUGGGUCUGCUUGGGGAGUUAGGAGGUGGAGCUCAGCCCUGAAGAGCUCUGGGGGCUCCUCCCGGCUCUCAUCUUCCGGCUCCCCGGGUUUCCAGGGUACUCUGCCGCUGCAUUAUUCUGAUAUGUCCCCCCUUCACUUCGUUUUAAUCUUUUUAUUAUGGGUAUUUCUAAAGGUGCAGGAAAAUAGAGAGAAAAUAACACCCAGCACAGAGGUUAUAUCUGGCAUGCAUGUCGAAUUGUUUGUUCUACAGCAGACCCGGAUUUUCUCUUUCCGUCCGUAAAUACUGUGUAUCUUUAAAAUUACUUCCGUCAUCAACACUCUUCAAUGGCAAUCAUAAUUCCUUAACUUUCUCAACAGUCCCCUUUUCUCUAAUUACCAGUUUGUCUGAAGGUGUGACUGCUUUUAGUUGAGAGAUCUCAGGUUGGUUUGUUUGUUUGGGGGGUGGGGUUAAUCCUUUUUGGAGGCAGGGUCUGAGGAGGAUACUGAGCCUCUUCCCAGCGAGUGACCAAAUCCAGGAGGGAGCUCCUGCUGAGGGAGAAACACUGGGCCGUAUCUAUAGAAAAGGUCUUUCAGUUACAGCGCAGAAGGAGAGGGCUGAGGUCGAGGUGGACCGCAUCCUGACCUUUGACUGGGUUCCUCACCGCUUCAGACCAAGCCUGAAGGGCAGGGGGUGGGGAACUGACAUAAGCCUGGGCACCCCUCCCCUCCUCUGCCUCUCUUUUGAGGGAACAGGAUACCAACAAGAGUCAAGCAGAGCGAGCGAGCUCCGGUAGAUCACCCUGUGUAGUCCCAAGGUCUUGUGGAGCCCGGGAGAAGACAGCCAGUGGCGGCAGGAGGGCAGGGGUCCUUGCGGAUUUGGCUUGGCCGCCGAGAGGGCAUUUCAGGGUUCUGGGAAGACCGGCCCCUAACUGGUCUGCCCUCUUUGGUUUGGCAAGAAGAUAAUAGCUGAGGUUGAUAGUUAGCUGGGUCCCGGUAACUGCCUGUUGUAGAGACUACAUUGUUCUGUGUGGCCAAAGACAAAGAGUUGGGGGUCUGUUUACCGCCCCGUUUAUGUCUGAUACAUCCCAACCUGCCUGAGACGCAGUGGCUCCUCACAACUCUUCCAAGUGUCUAGCAGGUAAGUAGUUCUCUGCCUUUCAUUGCUUUGAUUUCCCCAAGGGACACGAAGCUCAACAGAAGGGAAGAACAGUGUCCCACACGGCUCUGUGUCUUCCACAGACCCAGGACUAUCUAACCCAUAUCGGGUGUUCAAUAUAACUACCUGUGAAUCGAAAGCCGAGAAUUUGUGGAGAAAUCCUUGUUUCCUAAAAGGGAAAACAAGCUGUUCCAUGGAGACCACUGACAGAAUCUUCCUAGAUGGAUCUGCCCAACCUCCUUAGAUGAAUACAGUGAUGGCUAAAUAAAGUGGACUCAAUGCCCAGGACAGGGAGAGAUGUGAAUGUUAAUCCUAGUCUGCAGGAAGUAUUCCUCUGUUCAUAGCUAAAGUACCACCCUCCACACCCCCCCCCCCAACAGGAAGAGGCAUGGGAGGCUGGCUGCUGAGGCAGAGAAGACAGAAGCACUCACUCAUUCAUCAAGCAUCUAUGCUAGAGCUAAGGAUGGAGUGGAAAUAGGACAUGACCCAGUUCCCCAGGUGCUUUCUCAGUCAGUGUUGGAGACAGGUGCUGCUAACCGCUCACCAGCAAGGCCUCCAGAAAAAACAAAACCAAAGAGCAAGCAAUUGUGUUCUAAGGUAGGAACGCUCUGACUAUAGCCAAUCACAAGCUACAACAGCAUCAACAGAAAGAGUCGGGAAGAGAGGCACCAGCAGGCAGGCCGGCUUUGAUAACUGAUGGGCAGAGACAAAAAGACCCAGAAGGAAGCUCAUACCCUUCUAUCGCAGGGCCUAUGGCUGAAUUAGAGAAUUCACUCUGCAUGUAAGAAAAGUAGCCAGGGAAAUCACUGUAUUUGCUUUCUCUAGAGAAGAACAAGAGUGAGUGCUUUCAGAGUUAAUGUCUGCUACGUACUGUGAGGGAAGAAACCAUGCUAUAUUGAGUGGAGAGAGUGGUCUUGGAAGACAGUCUACCUGUCUGCACACAAAAAUGGGUCUGGUGUGUAGGUAAAUCUUACAGGCAAUAGCUUGCCCUGUGUUCAGAGAGGCUAUUUGAUAUGAUUUUAGGAGCUGAUAUCUGUCGUGGGCAGUAAGAUAAUAACAUCCACAUAUAAUAAUGCACAUCAUUUUUAGCAACUUUAUGAACCAGGCGCAUCAAAUAUUUUAUAUCUAAUCCAUUUAACUCUGCCAUGUCAGUAUUUAUAUGCUCAUUACGCACACGAGGAAACACUGACGUGAAACUAAGGAAGGUCUUUCUCUUCCAAACUUCUCUUUAGUGCUUGUCUUCUCUCAACUGCCAGGUUUCUUGUAUGAGAUGCAAGUGGCAAGACCCAGAAGCCAGAGCAAUGUAAAGAGCUUGUGCGCGAGAUCUGCUCGUGCUGUGCUGGUACCUCUGAGACAACGUGGAGCGUCUGUUCUAACAAGAGCAGUCGGUGGGGAGAUGGUUCUGGGGUUAAGAGCACUUGACGCUGUCACAGAGGACCUGGGCUGGGUUCCCAGCACUCACCGAGCAAUUCACAACUGUCUGCAAUUUCAGUUCCAAGGGACUGAUACCCUCUUCCGGCCUCCAGGAAUACUGUACACAUAUGUCUGUACACAGACAUACAUGCAGGCAAAACCUCAUACACAUAAAAUUAAAAACAAAAACAAAAAAACAAGUCUUUAAAAAAAGUAGAAUUAUGGAUCGAUAAAUGGAGGUAUAUAGGAACUGGGACUGUACAGCUCGUUGUGAAUUAAUGUGAUACUAUGUAAAAGAUACAUCAUUAGCCUUAUGAAAGACAGUCACACAGAAGAGUGAGGAGGAUAAUAAUAUGCCUGCAACGAGGACUUCAUUCAUGCAUCCACAGAUACUGUGUAUUUCUUUUAUUCCAAGCAAUGUGCCAAAUGCCAACUAGGGAAUCAAUCGCAGGGAACAGGACACACAACUCUUGUGCAGUAUCAGGGAGCAUGUUCUGAAUGUCCAUGCUAUCUAGACAUGAACGGGCUUCUUGAGGGCUCCCUACCCUUCCAGUAAUCAGGAGGAGGUCAAAGCCUCACUUACUAGAAUAUGCUAGGAUUCACUCUUUUGUUGAGUGUGUAAGUUAAAAUAAAAUCCCUUCUGGUUCAGA